ACAUAGAAAAUGAGAACAGCCCUGUCAAUAUAGUAGCCUCAACACACCUUAAUAUAGUAGCCCCAUUUUGGGUUUUACUGCUUCUCUCUCUCUCUCUCUCUCUCUCUCUUUGAUUUCACCAUCUGAUCGGAGAGACUCUGCAAAUCGGGAGGGUGAGACUUUGUGAUUGUUCCAAAACGACGACGGAUCAGGCGGCGGAGACGAGGACGGAGCCGGACUGUAUGGUAGGUCCGGUGGGGGAGGCAAGAAGGGGUGGACAUGACUGUGUGGUUGGGUUGGACUGUUUUCUGGACAUCGUCAGGGCUUUAGGGAUGGGCUCGUGCCUCUCCAUCACCGGUGACAACGCCCCCGGCUACGGCCGGGUGUCUUCCCCGGCGCAGAGCAACAAGAGGAGGAGGAGGUUGACCGGCAACUCGUCGUCACCGGUUUCGUCGGCGGCGGCGAGUUCCAUGGAGAUGUGGCUGCACAGGGUUCCGGGGAGGUUGUUCCUGAAUGGCUUCUCUGAUGUGGCUUCCCUGUUCAGCAAGCAAGGCAAGAAAGGUGUCAAUCAGGACGCUAUGAUUGCUUGGGAGAAUUUCGGCUCCAAGGAAGAUACAAUAUUCUGUGGUGUUUUUGAUGGGCAUGGUCCUAGUGGCCAUAUGGUGGCGAAGAAGGUGAGGGAUUCUCUACCUUUGAAGGUCAGCUCACAAUGGGUGUUGAACACCAGCGCCGCCGAUACUAACCACGCCGGUGCAUCUGUGGAGAGCAAGGACAGCCAUGGUGAAUUUUUCGCCACAUUGAAAGAUUCGUUUUUGAAGGCUUUUAAGGUCAUGGACAAGGAGCUUAAGUUGCAUCCUCGUAUUGAUUGCUAUUGCAGUGGGACAACUGCAGUUACGUUGGUCAAGCAGGGUCAGGAUCUUAUUAUUGCAAAUAUUGGGGACUCUAGAGCUGUGCUAGGCACAAGAGAUGAAGGGGGUUCUCUCGUUGCAGUUCAGUUGACUGUAGACUUAAAACCAAAUCUUCCAAGGGAAGCCGAGAGGAUUACGUUAUGUAAAGGUCGAGUAUUUGCUCUCCACAACGAGCCUGAUGUCACUCGAGUUUGGUUGCCCAACAGUAAUUCACCUGGGCUUGCUAUGGCCCGGGCUUUUGGAGAUUUCUGCCUAAAGGAUUAUGGUUUAAUCUCUGUCCCUGAUGUUUCUUAUCGUCGCCUUACUGAGAAGGAUGAAUUUGUAGUACUGGCUACAGAUGGGAUCUGGGAUGUUCUCUCAAACAAAGAAGUUGUGGAUAUAGUGGCAGCAACCCCACGACCCUCUGCUGCUCGAGCCCUGGUGGAGUCAGCCAAUCGAGCUUGGAGAUUUAAACACCCAUAUGCCAAGGUUGAUGAUUGUGCCGUUGUUUGCCUCUUCCUCACUUCCGGUGCUUCAGACAAUACUUCCCUUUCCUCACCAGAGGAGAAGAAAGUGAACUCAAUAUAAGUAGUUAACGUUGAUGGCGACAACAUAGCUGUUUCAGGAGCUUCAGAAAUACCAUCUGAAAAAUUGCCUUAAUAUCAGGAUGGGAGUUGGUACAAGAGCAUCAGUUGCAUGCUUUACUUUUGACCUGGUAACUCUGCAUGGGUAAAAUGGUUUAUGCAUCCUAGUUGCUUAUACACCAACAAUGUCACACGGUGAAAUGAGCAAUCACUCGCGAAUAAAAGAAUGAUCCAAAUUGAGAAUUUCUGUUCAGUGUUGUAUUGAACAGUACGGGCAUAGGAAGGUCGUACAAAUGAAGCCUGUUAAUACUCUUCUCUGUGCCAACCCUAGUUCCACCGGCUUCGCUGAACAUGACAGAUCCGCCAUUGUAUGCUGAAGAUAAAAAAGACUCGUAGUACGAAUUUCUUGCGUCUGCUAAAAAGAAUCUUUACCAACUCUCUAGACCUUGGGAAUGCUAGUUGGGAUGUCACAAUUGCGUGUGCUGCUCGGUAAUUACCGAUAAUUAUCAACAAGAUAGUGAGAUCUUGCUUUUUUUUUUCUUUUUUUUUAAUAAAAUGAGAUCUUGCUUUUGGCUC